rnacentral:lncRNA from 1 species
AACAAUGAGGUGGCGGUGAUGGUAGUCACUAACUGGCAUGACAAUGAUUAGCGGGAUUAGCAUUUGAAAAAAAUUACAAAUCUGACUCAGAAAUGAUACAUAUUUUGUAGUGAAGUAUCUCAGCAUCUCUCAGAUGGUAGCCCGUAAGUUGAGCAGAAUGGAGGAAAAGGAUUCAUGGAAGCAACCCUAACAAAUUAAGGAUCAAGGCUUAGUUGAGUUGUUGC